AUAUGUACCCGAAUCAGAAAACCAUGCACAAUUUUGAAAGCCAGUAUUUCGAUUAAUUCUUGUUUUAUAAGAACCGGGACGUAGAUUAUUUUAUGAAAUAAAAAUAUAUGUGGACUUAAGUGUAUGAAUAUAAGUAGUCAAGGGAUGGUUUUGAUUUUGUUCCUUCUCUCCAGUCUAAAAGAGGACAAUCAGCUCCUGUCUUUAGAAAAACCAUCCGAUGCAGGAAUUAUCGUCAAAACAUCUGCCAUUCUCCACGAAUCCAACAAAGGAAUCCAGUGAUCUUCUUUUGCUUAAUGCUAUCUUACAUGAUGUCAUGUUCAGGUAGAUGUUCUCAAUGAGUCCAUUCCAGAAAUCCUCCUGCCAUCAACAGUGCUUUUUAAUUUGGAAAUGGACAAUACUUGUUGUCUAAUGUUACUUGAUGAGAAUAUCGAUUCCCAAUGCAUGUAAUAAAAAAUGUGUGCAAUUGGAAAGAACUUCCAGCUUGAUCUGUACAAAUCAACUGUAGCAUCAUCCAAGAUAGUAAAGCUCUGCACAGUGAAUGGAUUUCAUUGCUUUCAAGAACUAUUAGCUGUACAGACUGUGCUCGUGAUGUCACAAUAGAGCUCUGAUUUCCAUGGCUGCACCAACCCUAAUUACCGUCAUUAGAUACAUAUCUAAUGAGUGCCUUUGUAUUGACAUAAAUGUAAUAUGUAAAAUAAAAAUUA